rnacentral:rRNA from 1 species
ACCCGUGUUUACUGUACCUUAGUUGCUUCGGCGGGCCCGCCAUUCGUGGCCGCCGGGGGCUCUCAGCCCCGGGCCCGCGCCCGCCGGAGACACCACGAACUCUGUCUGAUCUAGUGAAGUCUGAGUUGAUUGUAUCGCAAUCAGUUAAAACUUUCAACAAUGGAUCUCUUGGUUCCGGCAUCGAUGAAGAACGCAGCGAAAUGCGAUAACUAGUGUGAAUUGCAGAAUUCCGUGAAUCAUCGAGUCUUUGAACGCACAUUGCGCCCCCUGGUAUUCCGGGGGGCAUGCCUGUCCGAGCGUCAUUGCUGCCCAUCAAGCACGGCUUGUGUGUUGGGUCGUCGUCCCCUCUCCGGGGGGGACGGGCCCCAAAGGCAGCGGCGGCACCGCGUCCGAUCCUCGAGCGUAUGGGGCUUUGUCACCCGCUCUGUAGGCCCGGCCGGCGCUUGCCGAACGCAAAUCAAUCUUUUUCCAGGUUGACCUCGGAUCAGGUAGGGAUACCCGCUGAACUUAAGCAUAUCAAUAAGCGGAGGAAAAGAAACCAACCGGGAUUGCCUCAGUAACGGCGAGUGAAGCGGCAAGAGCUCAAAUUUGAAAGCUGGCUCCUUCGGGGUCCGCAUUGUAAUUUGCAGAGGAUGCUUCGGGUGCGGCCCCUGUCUAAGUGCCCUGGAACGGGCCGUCAGAGAGGGUGAGAAUCCCGUCUGGGAUGGGGUGUCCGCGCCCCGUGUGAAGCUCCCUUCGACGAGUCGAGUUGUUUGGGAAUGCAGCUCUAAAUGGGUGGUAAUUUCAUCUAAAGCUAAAUACUGGCCGGAGACCGAUAGCGCACAAGUAGAGUGAUCGAAAGAUGAAAAGACUUUGAAAAGA